AGAAAUCAUGGCUUAAAAAAAAAAAAAAAAAAACACCCUAUCCAUCCAGAACGUAAUCCUGUCCAGUUGCAGCAUCAUCUUUGUCCAAGAUGAAGCACAGGCAUGAACAAAGUCUGGCCAGUGACUAUGCAGCAACCACUUUGGUAAACAUAUGAAAUGCUAAAGAAAUUCUGAAUGGAAGUGGACUGGAUGUGAAGCAGACUACCUUCUAUCCAUAAUGCGAUGCGCAGGAAUAUGAAAUAGGGAUAUUCAGGUUGAGUUUUAAUGAGCAGGAGGAGAAGAAGAAGGAAAAUAUAGCCAGUAGACAAUUUUUUUACUGUCAGGAGUGGAACUGAUGCAGAGAAAAACUAUAAUGGAAAGACUUGCAGCUUUUUCUGUUUUGUGGACUCACUAACCUGAGAGGUUAUAAGUGACUUGUAAGAGCCUCGUGGCAGUCGCUCGGCCUGCCAUUACCAUACAGGAUCCAUACUCCUCAGAGAUCAGGCUCCUCUGGGAAAGCCCUUCAUUAAUAUUCAGCAUUAAAUCAGCUUAAUUGCUGCACUAAUUUCCUGCAACAAAGGCAAUUCUCCUCAGGCUACCUGUGAGCUGGCGCAUAGUCUGAACUGUGUCAUUUACUGUCCGUGCUGAAGAUGGCAGCACCUGAGGAUGUGUACAGCAGCAGCAGCAGGGUCACUUAGAGGGAGCUAAAAAUGAUAUGUCAGAUGAAUGCCAUGUCCCCCUCCCCCAUUUCCUCUUCCAGUGGUUCCCUCAUCCUUUUCCAGAUGCCAGCGCUGGCUGCAGGGUCCUCUGGUGUUAUGGAGGAGGAGGGGGACUGCUGCUGGAGUAUAUUUUGUUAUUCAUGCUUAUACCUCUCUCAUCUCGCAUUCUGCACCCGCCUGAACAUGAAGCUGUGUAACCACAGCAACCAGGCAGCUGGGACCAGGAGAUGGGGGAUAGCAGAGGGGGUGGAAGAAAGAUGGCAUUCACCCCUUCACUGCCAACAAUAUAGGGGGAAGCUUCAGCCUCUGGGAAAGGAGGGGUUAAUGCAGAGGAAAGGGAGGGAUGCUGGUAUAACCUAGGCUCCCGGGAAUAUGAGGAGGAAGUGGUUAACAUGAGGUGACGUCAGAGGAGAAUAUUAUAAAGAAAAAGGGGUUUUACAAGGAAACGGAGCUAUUUUUAAUGAAAAAUUGCACAGCACAUCUGCGCAUUGUGUGUCAUUCGCAACAAAGGUCAUUUCUGGAUAAUAAAAAACAUGUGUCAGCUCAUAAUGUGGGGAUGCCAUCAUCCAGAUUAUUACCUCAGCCACACCUGGAUUACCGGAUUUAUUCCCACUCCCAUGAGGUGCCCACGGCUUGUAUGGAGGUGUGACAUGGACAAUGUACUUGUGUCAUGUUGAAAGGGAUCACC